CCUACGGGAGGCAGCAGUGGGGGAUAUUGGACAAUGGGGGGAACCCUGAUCCAGCGACGCCGCGUGAAUGAAGAAGUAUUUCGGUAUGUAAAGCUCUGUCAGCAGGGAAGAAAGAAAUGACGGUACCUGACCAAGAAGCCCCGGCUAACUACGUGCCAGCAGCCGCGGUAAUACGUAGGGGGCAAGCGUUAUCCGGAAUUACUGGGUGUAAAGGGAGCGUAGACGGUUAAGUAAGUCUGGAGUGAAAGGCCGGGGCCCAACCCCGGGACUGCUCUGGAAACUAUUGAACUUGAGUGCAGGGGAGGUAAGCGGAAUUCCUAGUGUAGCGGUGAAAUGCGUAGAUAUUAGGAGGAACACCAGUGGCGAAGGCGGCUUACUGGACUGUAACUGACGUUGAGGCUCGAAAGCGUGGGGAGCAAACAGGAUUAGAUACCCGGGUAGUC
rnacentral:rRNA from 1 species